UGCCGUUUACCGAACCGGUGAAUAAAAAGACCGGAAUCGUCGAUUUUCACACUCACAUCUUCGACACAGAGCGAAAUUUGAACAAAGUUUCAUCGGCCUUCCAAAAGAAGUGGUGGCUGUGCAUUCUAGAUACCAUGGCGGAACGUAUCGCUUCAAUUCACCUUACUUUGGCUGUAUUAAUUGGUAUCAUUGCUAUUGGAAAGACUGAAGACGCUACAGCACGAAGUGGUUACUCCCUCAUUGAAGAAGCUCGAAUCGAUGCUCGUCAGCUCGACACGUUAGCCGGGCAAACUUUUGGUAGAAGCGAUGCCCGUCAGCUCGACACGUUAGCCGGGCAAACCUUUGGUAGAAGCGAUGACCGUCAGCUUGACACGUUAUCUGGCCAAACCUUUGGUAGAAGCGAUGACCGUCAGCUCGACACGUUAUCUGGGCAAACCUUUGGUAGAAGCGAUGACCGUCAGCUCGACACGUUAGCCGGGCAAACCUUUGGUAGAAGCGAUGACCGUCAGCUUGACACGUUAUCUGGUCAAACCUUUGGUAGAAGCGAUGACCGUCAGCUCGACACGUUAUCUGGGCAAACCUUUGGUAGAAGCGAUGACCGUCAGCUCGACACGUUAGCCGGGCAAACCUUUGGUAGAAGCGAUGACCGUCAGCUCGACACGUUAUCUGGGCAAACCUUUGGUAGAAGCGAUGACCGUCAGCUCGACACGUUAUCUGGCAAACCUUUGGUAGAAGCGAUGACCGUCAGCUCGACACGUUAGCCGGGCAAACCUUUGGUAGAAGCGAUGACCGUCAGCUCGACACGUUAGCCGGGCAAACCUUUGGUAGAAGCGAUGCCCGUCAGCUCGACACGUUAGCCGGGCAAACCUUUGGUAGAAGCGAUGACCGUCAGCUCGACACGUUAUCUGGGCAAACAUUUGGUAGAAGCGAUGACCGUCAGCUCGACACGUUAUCUGGGCAAACCUUUGGUAGAAGCGAUGACC